rnacentral:rRNA from 1 species
AUUGAACGCUGGCGGCAUGCCUUACACAUGCAAGUCGAACGGCAGCACGGGUGCUUGCACCUGGUGGCGAGUGGCGAACGGGUGAGUCAUACAUCGGAACGUACCUUAUAGUGGGGGAUUACAUAUGGAAAAAUUUGCUAAUAACGCAUAAUAAGCUGAGGAGGAAAGCGGGGGAUUCGUAAGAACAUAGUGCGAUUAGAGCGGCCGAUGGCUAAUUAGCUAGUUGGUGAGGUAAAGGCCCACCAAGGCAACGAUCAGUAGCGGGUCUGAGAGGAUGAUCUGCCACACUGGAACUGAGAAACGGGCCAGACUCCUACGGGAGGCAGCAGUGGGGAAUUUUGGACAAUGGGCGAAAGUCUGAUCCAGCAAUGCCGCGUGAGUGAAGAAGGCCUUCGGGUUGUAAAGCUCUUUUGUCAGUGAAGAAAACUUUAAUAAUAACACUAUUAAAGCAUGACGGUAACUGAAGAAUAAGGACCGGCUAACUACGUGCCAGCAGCCGCUGUAA